CCAAUAGCGUAUAUUAAAGUUGUUGCAGUUAAAAAGCUCGUAGUUGAAUUUCGGGAUCAAUAUAUCGGUCGUGCCUCCGGUACGUACUGGUAUCGUUGAUUUCUACCUUCUGACGAACCAUGAUGUCAUUAAUUUGGUGUCAUGGGAAAUCAGGACUGUUACUUUGAAAAAAUUAGAGUGUUUAAAGCAGGCAUACGCUUGAAUACAUUAGCAUGGAAUAAUGAAAUAGGACGUUUGAUCCUAUUUUGUUGGUUUCUAGGAUCGACGUAAUGAUUAAUAGGGAUAGUUGGGGGCAUUAGUAUUCAAUUGUCAGAGGUGAAAUUCUUGGAUUUAUUGAAGACUAACUACUGCGAAAGCAUUUGCCAAGGAUGUUUUCAUUAAUCAAGAACGAAAGUUAGGGGAUCGAAGACGAUCAGAUACCGUCGUAGUCUUAACCAUAAACUAUGCCGACUAGGGAUCGGAUGAUGUUAAUUUUUUAAUGACUCAUUCGGCGCCUUACG
rnacentral:rRNA from 1 species